rnacentral:rRNA from 1 species
ACGCUCGACACCUACUGGAGGCAGCAGUGGGGAAUAUUGCACAAUGGGGGAAACCCUGAUGCAGCGACGCCGCGUGGAGGAAGAAGGUCUUCGGAUUGUAAACUCCUGUUGUUGGGGAAAAGAGGAUGGUACCCAACAAGGAAGUGACGGCUAACUACGUGCCAGCAGCCGCGGUAAUCUGAGCGGGCUGGCAAGGC